rnacentral:rRNA from 1 species
CCUACGGGAGGCAGCAGUGGGGAAUAUUGGGCAAUGGAGGAAACUCUGACCCAGCAACGCCGCGUGAAGGAUGAAGGUUUUCGGAUUGUAAACUUCUGUCGCGAGGGACGAAGAAUGACGGUAGCUCGUAAGAAAGCCCCGGCUAACUACGUGCCAGCAGCCGCGGUAAUACGUAGGGGGCGAGCGUUGUCCGGAAUGACUGGGUGGAAAGGGAGGGGAGGGGGCAAUAUAAGUGAGAUGUGAAAGACCGCGGCUCAACCGCGGAACGGCAUCUAAAACGAUAUAGCUGGAGUGCAGAAGAGGUGAGUGGCAUUCCUCGUGUAGCGGUGUACUGCGUCUAUCUUAGG